rnacentral:rRNA from 1 species
AAACUAAAACAUUACCCCCAACUGAGUAUAGGCGAUAGAAAAGUAUCAGCCCCGGACGCCAUAGAAAAAGUACCGCAAGGGAAAGAUGAAAUAGCAAUGACAAGCCAAGCGCCAAACAGCAAAGACAAACCCUUGUACCUCUUGCAUCAUGAUCUAGCAAGAACCGACCAGGCAAAAAGAACUUAAGCCUGCCACCCCGAAACCCAAGCGAGCUACUCACAAGCAGUCAACCAAGAACCAACCCGUCUCUGUUGCAAAAGAGUGGGAUGACUUGUUAGUAGAGGUGAAAAGCCUACCGAGCUGGGUGAUAGCUGGUUGCCUGCAAAACGAAUUUAAGUUCCCCCUUAGCCCUCCCACCAUGAACCAAUCAACCAAAUCCCUAUGUAAGCGCUAAGAGAUAUUCAAAGGAGGUACAGCCCCUUUGACACAGGAUACAACCUCCACCAGCGGAUAAUACACAACCACCACACCCGUGGGCCCUAAAGCAGCCACCCCAAAAGAAUGCGUCAAAGCUCAAAGCCCUAAAAAAUCCAAAAACAACAAGACUCCCUACACCCUCAGCAGGCCAACCUAUAACUAUAGAUGAACACAUGCUAAAACGAGUAACCAGGACACCACACCCUCCCCUAAGCGCCAACCUACAUACCAUUAACAGCACUACCACAAUAAACUAAACCCCCAUCUUAACCCAACCAUUGAUCACACCCUGUUAACCCAACUCAGGAGCGCACAACUAGGAAGAUUAAAAUCUGCAAAAGGAACUCGGCAAGCCCAAGGCCCGACUGUUUACCAAAAACAUAGCCUUCAGCCAAACAAGUAUUGAAGGUGAUGCCUGCCCAGUGACCCUACGUUCAACGGCCGCGGUAUCCUAACCGUGCAAAGGUAGCGCAAUCAAUUGUCCCAUAAAUCGAGACCUGUAUGAAUGGCUAAACGAGGUCUUAACUGUCUCCUGCAGACAAUCAGUGAAACUGAUCUCCCUGUGCAAAAGCAGGGAUAAGCACAUAAGACGAGAAGACCCUGUGGAACUUCAAAAUCAAUAGCCACCACACACCCCAAUACCAACCUACAAGGCCCACUUAACCCCGAACAACUGGCUAGUAUUUUUAGGUUGGGGCGACCCUGGAGAAAAACAAAUCCUCCAGUAGCACGGGCCAAAUCCCCAACUAAGAGCAACCCCUCAACGUGCCAACAGCACACAGACCCAAUAAAAUUGACCAACGAACCAAGCUACCCCAGGGAUAACAGCGCAAUCUCCCCCAAGAGCCCCUAUCGACGAGGAGGUUUACGACCUCGAUGUUGGAUCAGGACAUCCUAGUGGUGCAACCGCUACUAAGGGUUCGUUUGUUCAACGAUUAACAGUCCUACGUGAUCUGAGUUCAGACCGGAGCAAUCCAGGUCGGUUUCUAUCUAUGACCCAACCUUCCCUAGUACGAAAGGACCGGGAAAGUAGGGCCAAUGCCCCCAGCACGCCCUCCCCCUAAGUGAUGCCCCCAACUAAAUCACCAAAGGAUCCCCCACCUACA